rnacentral:rRNA from 1 species
AUGAACGCUGGCGGCGUGCCUAAUACAUGCAAGUCGCGCGAACAGACGAGGAGCUUGCUCCUCUGACGUUAGCGGCGGACGGGUGAGUAACACGUGGAUAACCUACCUAUAAGACUGGGAUAACUUCGGGAAACCGGAGCUAAUACCGGAUAAUAUAUUGAACCGCAUGGUUCAAUAGUGAAAGACGGUUUUGCUGUCACUUAUAGAUGGAUCCGCGCCGCAUUAGCUAGUUGGUAAGGUAACGGCUUACCAAGGCGACGAUGCGUAGCCGACCUGAGAGGGUGAUCGGCCACACUGGAACUGAGACACGGUCCAGACUCCUACGGGAGGCAGCAGUAGGGAAUCUUCCGCAAUGGGCGAAAGCUUGACGGAGCAACGCCGCGUGAGUGAUGAAGGUCUUCGGAUCGUAAAACUCUGUUAUUAGGGAAGAACAAAUGUGUAAGUAACUAUGCACGUCUUGACGGUACCUAAUCAGAAAGCCACGGCUAACUACGUG